CAGCUCGUGUCGUGAGAUGUUCGGUUAAGUCCGCUAACGACGCGCAACCCUCGCUGUGUGUUAUAUGUGUCACACGGGACUGCCGGUCUUAAGCCGGAGGAAGGUGGGGAUGAUGUCAAGUCAGCAUGGCCUUUAUAUCCUGGGCUACGCACACGCUACAAUGGCCAACACAAUAGGUUGCUAAGCCGCGAGGUGGCGCCAAUCCAUAAAGUUGGUCUCAGUUCAGAUUGUAGGCUGCAACCCGCCUGCAUGAAGAUGGAGUUGCUAGUAACCGCAGGUCAGCUAUACUGCGGUGAAUACGUUCCCGGGGCUU
rnacentral:rRNA from 1 species